UCUUAUGGAUGAGAAAAUAAAGUAGGUUUUUGAGAUGGAAACUACUGCUGGUGAUGAUGUUGUGAA
rnacentral:pre_miRNA from 1 species